UUUCUUCUCUCUACUUUUCCUUAAUCCUCAAGUCUUCUCUGCUUUUUCUUCUUCAACACUCUAAAAUAAUAACCGAAAAAAAUCCUCACUUUCGUCUUCAAUGGCAGAUACAAACUACUACACCAAAUAUCAACCGCAAAACCAAGCAAAUAACUCAAGUAAGUUUUACUCUAAUUUCCUCUACAAAGCUCUUUUAGUCACCAUCUUCUUAGUCAUACUCUCACUUUUCCCUUCACAAGCUCCUG
rnacentral:misc_RNA from 1 species